CAAGAGUGGAGUCAUCAAUGUACUUCACGUAGCGAGCGAUCUCAUCCUCGCUUGCCCCUUCUUCGGGCGUAGGCAUCACUGUAUCAAGGACGUACACGAUUUUCUCCGCUGUGAGAACAAUUCUCAAGUUACAGAGCCAAUCCGUAUAAUUUGGACCAGUGAGGCGGUUGACAUCAAGUAUGCCACAUAAGGGAUUUGAAAGCGACAUUUUCUGAAAAUAAAGAUGCAGCAGAAAUGAAUAAUAUGCAGAUUUUGCAAGAAACAAACUAUCAAGAUAUGGACUUCUAUCUUAAUAUGCUCCCACUAUUUUACUAACGAGUCACGCGAC
rnacentral:lncRNA from 1 species